rnacentral:rRNA from 1 species
AACGCUAGCGAUAGGCUUAACACAUGCAAGUCGAGGGGCAGCAUGGUCUUAGCUUGCUAAGACUGAUGGCGACCGGCGCACGGGUGCGUAACGCGUAUGCAACUUGCCUCACAGAGGGGGAUAACCCGUCGAAAGACGGACUAAUACCGCGUACACUCCAGCUUGGGCAUCCAAGCUAGAGGAAAUGAACUUCGCUGUGAGAUAGGCAUGCGUCCCAUUAGCUAGUUGGUGAGGUAACGGCUCACCAAGGCGACGAUGGGUAGGGGAACUGAGAGGUUGAACCCCCACACUGGUACUGAGACACGGGCCAGACUCCUACGGGAGGCAGCAGUGAGGAAUAUUGGUCAAUGGGCGAGAGCCUGAACCAGCCAAGUCGCGUGAAGGAUGACUGUCUUAUGGACUGUAAACUUCUUUUAUACGGGAAUAACAAGAGUCACGUGUGGCUCCCUGCAUGUCCGUAUGAAUAAGCAUCGGCUAACUCCGUGCCAGCAGCCGCGGUAAUACGGAGGAUGCGAGCGUUAUCCGGAUUUAUUGGGUUUAAAGGGUGCGUAGGCGGCCUGUUAAGUCAGCGGUGAAAUCUAGGAGCUUAACUCCUAAAUUGCCAUUGAUACUGGCGGGCUUGAGUGUAGAUGAGGUAGGCGGAAUGCGUGGUGUAGCGGUGGAAUGCAUAGAUAUCACGCAGAACUCCGAUUGCGAAGGCAGCUUACUAAGGUACAACUGACGCUGAAGCACGAAAGCGUGGGUAUCAAACAGGAUUAGAUACCCUGGUAGUCCACGCAGUAAACGAUGAUAACUGGGCGUAUGCGAUAUACAGUAUGCUCCUAAGCGAAAGCGUUAAGU